rnacentral:rRNA from 1 species
AUUGAACGCUGGCGGUAGGCCUAACACAUGUAAGUCGAGCGAGCGGCGGACGGGCGAGUAAUGUCUGGGAAACUGCCGGAUGGAGGGGGAAAACUCCUGGAAACGGUAGCUAAGACCGCAUACCAUCAGAUGUGCCCAGAUGGGAUUAGCUAGUAGGUGGGGUAAUGGCUCACCUAGGCGACGAUCCCUAGCUGGUCUGAGAGGAUGACCAGCCACCCUGGAACUGAGACUCGGUCCAGUCUCCUUCGGACGGCAACCGUUGGGAAUAUUGCACAAUGGGCGCAAGCCUGAUACAGCCGUGCCGCGUGUAUGGAGAAGGCCUUCGGGUUGUAGAGUACUUUCAGCGGGGAGGCGUUUCCCGCAGGAGAAGCGCCGGCUAACUCCAUGCCAGCAGCCGCGGUAAUUC